rnacentral:rRNA from 1 species
GGUCAAGUUAUUAAGGGUGCAGGGCGGAUGCCUUGGCACUAGGAGCCGAUGAAGGACGUGAUAAGCUGCGAUAAGCUUCGGGGAGUUGCACGUAAACUUUGAUCCGAAGAUUUCCGAAUGAGGAAACUCACUUAGAGUAAUGUCUAAGUAUCAUUAAGUGAAUACAUAGCUUAAUGAGGGGAACUCAGGGAACUGAAACAUCUAAGUACCUGAAGGAAGAGAAAGAAAUUCGAUUCCGUAAGUAGCGGCGAGCGAACGCGGAUUAGCCCAAACCAAUAAAGUUUUCUUUAUUGGGGUUGCGGACAUAUCAUAACGAAGAGGUAUCGUAAUUGAAGAGGUUUGGAAAGACCCACCACAGAAGGUAAUAGUCCUGUAUGUUAAACGAGAAGACUUCAGAUAUGAUCCAGAGUACCACGGGACACGUGAAACCCUGUGGGAAGCAGGAGGGACCACCCUCCAAGGCUAAAUACUACCUAGUGACCGAUAGCGUAUAGUACCGUGAGGGAAAGGUGAAAAGAACCCCGGGAGGGGAGUGAAAUAGAACCUGAAACCCUGCACUUACAAGCUGUGGAAGCACAUUUCUUGUGUGACCGCGUACUUUUUGUAGAACGGGCCAACGAGUUACGUUAAGUAGCAAGGUUAAGCACUUAAGGUGUGGAGCCGUAGCGAAAGCGAGUUUUAACUGAGCGUUCAGUUACUUGACGUAGACCCGAAACCGGGCGACCUACCCAUGAGCAGGAUGAAGCGAAAGUAAAAUUUCGUGGAGGUCCGAACCCACGAGCGUUGAAAAGCUCGGGGAUGACUUGUGGGUAGCGGUGAAAUUCCAAUCGAGCCCGGAGAUAGCUGGUUCUCCCCGAAAUAGCUUUAGGGCUAGCCUCAAGGUGAGAGAUACGGAGGUAGAGCACUGAAUGUCCUAGGGGGUAUUGCACCUACCGAAGACUAUCAAACUCCGAAUGCCGUCAUCUUAUACUUGGGAGUCAGACUGUGGGUGAUAAGAUUCAUAGUCGAAAGGGCAACAGCCCAGAUCGUCAGCUAAGGUCCCUAAAUGUAAGUUAAGUGGUAAAGGAUGUGGGAUUGCACAGACAACCAGGAUGUUGGCUUAGAAGCAGCCACUCAUUCAAAGAGUGCGUAAUAGCUCACUGGUCGAGUGAUCCUGCGCCGAAGAUUUCCGGGGCUAAAACUUACUACCGAAGCUACGGCAUCAGUAAUGAUGGGUAGGGGAGCUUCCCAUACGGGUUGAAGCAUGACCGUAAGGACAUGUGGACAGUAUGGGAGUGAGAAUGUUGGCAUGAGUAGCGAGAUGUGGGUGAGAAUCCCACAGGCCGUAAACCCAAGGUUUCCAGGGGAAGGUUCGUCCGCCCUGGGUUAGUCGGGACCUAAGCUGAGGCCGAAAGGCGUAGGUGAUGGACAACAGGUUGAUAUUCCUGUACUACCGAUAACCAUUUGAGAGAAGGGAUGACACAGUAGGAUAAGCUAAGCACACUGUUGGUUAUGUGUGCCCAAGCAUUGAGGCAGUCAAAGUAGGCAAAUCCGCUUUGAUAAUGCUGGGAUGUGAUGGGGAGCGAAAUUUAGUAGCGAAGUAGCUGAUUUCACACUGUCAAGAAAAGUCUCUAUCGAGGUUAAAGGUACCCGUACCGCAAACCGACACAGGUGGGUGAGGAGAGUAUCCUAAGGCCAGCGAGAGAACUGUUGUUAAGGAACUCGGCAAAAUGACCCCGUAACUUAGGGAUAAGGGGUGCCACCAUCAGGUGGCCGCAGAGAAUAGGCCCAAGCGACUGUUUACCAAAAACAUAGGUUUCUGCUAAGUCGCAAGACGAUGUAUAGGAGCUGACGCCUGCCCGGUGCUGGAAGGUUAAGGGGAUCUGUUAGAGCAAUCGAAGCAGUGAACUUAAGCCCCAGUAAACGGCGGCCGUAACUAUAACGGUCCUAAGGUAGCGAAAUUCCUUGUCGGGUAAGUUCCGACCCGCACGAAAGGCGUAACGAUUUGGGCACUGUCUCAACAACAGACUCGGUGAAAUUGUAAUUCCGGUGAAGAUGCCGGAUACCUGCGACAGGACGGAAAGACCCCAUGGAGCUUUACUGUAGCUUGACAUUGGGUCUUGGUACUACAUGUACAGGAUAGGUGGGAGGCUUUGAAACCAGGACGCCAGUUUUGGCGGAGCCAUCCUUGGGAUACCACCCUUGUAGUACUGGGACUCUAACCAUAGGCCAUGAAUCUGGUCUUGGGACACUGUCAGGUGGGCAGUUUGACUGGGGCGGUCGCCUCCCAAAAGGUAACGGAGGCGCUCAAAGGUUCUCUCAGUACGGUCGGAAAUCGUACGUAGAGUGUAAAGGCAAAAGAGAGCUUGAUUGCAAGACAUACAGGUCGAGCAAGGAUGAAAAUCGGACUUAGUGAUCCGGUGGUUCUGCGUGGAAGGGCCAUCGCUCAACGGAUAAAAGCUACCCUGGGGAUAACAGGCUUAUCUCCCCCAAGAGUCCACAUCGACGGGGAGGUUUGGCACCUCGAUGUCGGCUCAUCACAUCCUGGGGCUGUAGUAGGUCCCAAGGGUUGGGCUGUUCGCCCAUUAAAGUGGUACGCGAGCUGGGUUCAGAACGUCGUGAGACAGUUCGGUCCCUAUCCGUCGCAGGCGUAGGAAAUUUGAGAAGACCUGUCCUUAGUACGAGAGGACCGGGAUGGACGUACCUCUGGUGUACCAGUUGUUCUGCCAAGGGCAUGGCUGGGUAGCUAUGUACGGAAUGGAUAAGCGCUGAAAGCAUCUAAGCGCGAAGCCAACUUCAAGAUAAGAUUUCCCACCGCAAGGGUAAGACCCCAGAAAGACUAUCUGGUUGAUAGGUCGAAGGUGUAAGUGCAGCAAUGUAUUUAGCUUAUCGAUACUAAUAGGUCGAGGACUUGACCAA